AGAGCGCAAGGGGAAUGCCUUGGCAUCAGGAGCCGACGAAGGACGUGACAAGCUGCGAUAAGCUACGGUGAGGAGCAAAUAUCCUGUGACCCGUAGAUUUCCGAAUGGGGCAACCCGGCUGGACAAUAUCCAGUCAUCCUGCAUUGAAUAAAAUAGGUGUAGGAAGGGAACCGCCUGAACUGAAACAUCUAAGUAGGGCGAGGAAAAGACAUCAACCGAGAUUCCGCAAGUAGUGGCGAGCGAACGCGGAAGAGGCCAAACCGGAGGAUUUAUUCUCCGGGGUUGCGGACAGCUAUACGGAACAAUAGUUUAGCCGAACGGUCUGGGAAGGCCGGUCACAGAGGGUGAGAACCCCGUAGGCGAAAGACGAAUUGUUUCAGGCUGGAUCCAGAGUACCGCAGGACACGUGAAACCCUGUGGGAAACAGGGGGGACCACCCUCCAAGCCUAAAUACUACCUGAUGACCGAUAGAGGAGCAGUACCGUGAGGGAAAGGUGAAAAGGACCCCGGGAGGGGAGUGAAAGAGAACCUGAAACCUUGUGCUUACAAGCAGUCAGAGCACGUUAAAGUGUGAUGGCGUACUUUUUGUAGAACGGUCCGGCGAGUUAUAGUAACGAGCAAGCUUAAGGUAUUCAGUACCGGAGGCGAAGCGAAAGCGAGUCUGAAUAGGGCGCAUGAAGUUCGUUGCCAUAGACCCGAAACCGGGUGACCUAACCAUGAGCAGGCUGAAGUGAGAGUAAAAUCUCAUGGAGGGCCGAACGCACGUUCGUUGCAAUGACCGGCGAUGACUUGUGGUUAGCGGAGAAAUUCCAAUCGAACUCGGAGAUAGCUGGUUCUCCCCGAAAUAGCUUUAGGGCUAGCGUCGGAUAUGUGUAGUGGAGGUAGAGCACUGAAUGGGCUAGGGGGCAUAGCGCUUACCGAACCUUAUCAAACUCCGAAUGCCACAUACAUUAAGUCCGGCAGUCAGACUACGAAUGAUAAGAUCCGUGGUCAAAAGGGAAACAGCCCAGAUCGUCAGCUAAGGUCCCAAAGUGUAAGUUAAGUGGAAAAGGAUGUGGGAUUUCUAAGACAACUAGGAUGUUGGCUUAGAAGCAGCCACUCAUUUAAAGAGUGCGUAAUAGCUCACUAGUCGAGAGAUCCUGCGCCGAAAAUGUCCGGGGCUCAAACUUACCACCGAAGCUACGGGCUUGCAUUAGCAAGCGGUAGGGGAGCGUCGUAAUCGGGCUGAAGUCGUACCGUAAGGAGCGGUGGACUGAUUACGAGUGAGAAUGUUGGCAUUAGUAGCGAGAUGUAGGUGAGAAUCCUACAGGCCGAAUAUCUAAGGUUUCCUCAGGAAGGCUCGUCCGCUGAGGGUUAGUCGGGACCUAAGCCGAGGCCGAAAGGCGUAGGCGAUGGACAAUCGGUUGAUAUUCCGAUACCACUACCAUCGUUAUUAUCGAGGGUGUGACGGAGAAGGAUAGUGUGUGCUAGCGAUUGGAAAUGCUAGUCUAAGCGUUUAGGGAGUUACGGUAGGCAAAUCCGCUGUAACAAUUCUGAGGCGUGAUGGGGAAGGCCAUAUAGGCCGAAGUACAUGAUUCCAUGCUUCCAAGAAAAGCAUCUAGAGAGAGAAGUAGUGCCCGUACCGCAAACCGACACAGGUAGAUGAGGAGAGAAUCCUAAGGCCGGCGGAAGAAUUGCAGUUAAGGAACUAGGCAAAUUGACCCCGUAAGUUCGCGAGAAGGGGUGCCUGCGAGAGCAGGCCGCAGAGAAUAGGCCCAAGCAACUGUUUAGCAAAAACACAGGUCUCUGCUAAAGCGCAAGCUGAUGUAUAGGGGCUGACGCCUGCCCGGUGCUGGAAGGUUAAGGGGAACACUUAGCGCAAGCGAAGGUGUGAACUUAAGCCCCAGUAAACGGCGGCCGUAACUAUAACGGUCCUAAGGUAGCGAAAUUCCUUGUCAGGUAAGUUCUGACCCGCACGAAUGGCGUAAUGACUUGGGCACUGUCUCAACUGCAAAUCCGGCGAAGUUGUAGUGCGAGUGAAGAUGCUCGCUACCCGCGAUUGGACGGAAAGACCCCGUAGAGCUUUACUGCAGCUUAGCAUUGAAUUCCGGUAUUGUCUGUACAGGAUAGGUGGGAGACUGGGAAACUAGGGCGUCAGCCUUAGUGGAGUCAACCUUGGGAUACCACCCUGACAGUACUGGGGUUCUAACAGGACGCCAUGAAUCUGGUGACUGGACAUUGUUAGGUGGGCAGUUUGACUGGGGCGGUCGCCUCCUAAAAAGUAACGGAGGCGCCCAAAGGUUCCCUCAGAACGGUCGGAAAUCGUUCGUAGAGUGCAAAGGCAUAAGGGAGCCUGACUGCGAGACCUACAAGUCGAGCAGGGACGAAAGUCGGGCUUAGUGAUCCGGUGGUACCUCGUGGGAGGGCCAUCGCUCAACGGAUAAAAGCUACCUCGGGGAUAACAGGCUGAUCUCCCCCAAGAGUCCACAUCGACGGGGAGGUUUGGCACCUCGAUGUCGGCUCAUCGCAUCCUGGGGCUGUAUUCGGUCCCAAGGGUUUGGCUGUUCGCCAAUUAAAGCGGUACGCGAGCUGGGUUCAGAACGUCGUGAGACAGUUCGGUCCCUAU
rnacentral:rRNA from 1 species